AUGGACAGUGGAGACGAGUUUUUCUUCCAUCACUUCCUUUGUUCAUCGGACGAUUCGUCAUCGGAUGAUGACGAUCAUGUGGUGGCUGCACUGGUCGUUCACGACCAUAUUCAACGGCAGCUUCCUCGGUACACGAGGUCAGUCCCUGGCCGUGCUCCCAACCUAAACCGCAACAGGGAGAGAGGCCACGCCCUGCUCUAUGCCGAUUACUUUGCCAACACCCCGCUCUUCAGGCCGGAUAAAUUUCGUCACCGUAUUCGUAUGGCAAGGCAUGUGUUCAAUCCUAUCCGAGAGGGAGUGGUUGCUCAUGACCCAUACUUCGAGUGCAAGACGAAUGUCCUUGGCAAGCUUGGAUUCUCCUCCUACCAGAAAUGCACCACGGCCAUCCGCAUACUUGCAUAUGGAAUUCCAGGCGAUUUGAUGGAUGAGUAUGUGCGUAUGAGUGAGACAACAUGUCUGAUGUCAAUGUACAAGUUUUGCCAGGCUGUGAUCGAGGUCUUUGGCCCAGAGUACUUGAGGCAGUCAACUGCCGCUGAUACAAAGAGAUUGUUGGCGACCAACGCAGCUAGAGACUUUCCAGGUAUGCUUGGCAACAUAGAUUGUAUGCACUGGGAGUGGAAGAACUGUCCAUUUGCUUGGCAGGGCCAGUACAAGGGGCAUGUUAACGGGUGCACUGUCAUAUUAGAAGCGGUGGCAUCACAAGAUCUUUGGAUAUGGCAUUCUUUCUUUGGCAUGGCAGGUUCUCACAAUGAUAUCAACGUGCUGCAGCGUUCUCCAGUCUUCGCGAGGCUUGCAGAAGGCCACUCCCCACCUGUCAACUUUGAGAUCAACGGCCACCAUUACAACAAGGGAUACUAUCUAGCAGAUGGUAUAUAUCCUCAGUGGUCAACUUUUGUGAAGACAAUCUCGAAAUCCGAAGGUGAGAAGAGAAAGAGAUUUGCCCAAAUGCAAGAGAGUGUUAGAAAGGAUGUGGAACGUGCUUUUGGUGUGCUUCAAUCCCGGUGGGGUAUCGUUCGAAACCCUGCACUGUCAUGGGAUGAAGGGAAGCUUUGGGAGGUGAUGACUACUUGUGUGAUCAUGCACAACAUGAUCGUCGAGGACGAACGUGAGGAGAGUAUCUUCGGCCAAGGAUUUGAUUAUCAAGGUGAAAAUAUUGAGCCCCUGCACCAAGACUCGGCCACAUUUUAA
rnacentral:rRNA from 1 species